UGGGGGACACCCGUUCUCGAAGUUGGCAGCAGCCUACGUAGCUCUUGUGUUGAGUGCUGUCAAAAAAAGCGGAGAAAUAAGUGGGUGUUGUAAUUUGUUCCGUUUUAUUUGUGAAGCGCGCUUUCUUGCGAAGAUCGUGAUAUGUGAAAACCGUAAUUUACACUUCGUGUAUUAACCUAAGGAUAGCAGCAAGAAUGCCACCAAAGUUUCGAAGAUAUCUUUCUGAGGAAGAUGUCACAGAGGCUGCUGAGCCUGAAAAGGAAAAGCUAUUGCAAGAUGAAGAAGAUGAAGAUUUUUUCCUGAAGGGACCAACAUCAAGCGGGAAAACUCUGACGAUCCAAGAUAAAAAGCUGCGAAGGGUGCAGUUUCAAGUAGAUGAAGUCUCAAGCAUCAUGAAGGACAACAUUGAAAAAAUUAUGGAACGAGGGGAAAGGUUGGAAGACCUUGAAGAAAAAUCAGAUUCUCUUGCCACAAAUGCUGAUCAAUUUUGGUCUACGGCAAAGAAGAUGCAGAGUCGUAUGUGGUGGCGUAACAUGAGGGUGAAGGUACUACUGGUUCUAGUCAUCCUGGUGAUUUUGCUAAUCAUAUUUGUGCCGAUAAUAGUGCGGAACUCUUGAAGAUGUUUGUGCAGACCAUGGUUGAACAUUUUCACUAUAAGCAAUGUUGUAAAUUUGUUGCUUGAAUUCAUAGCCUACGACACGGAAGAGCCUCGUGACCAGUUUGUAUGGAAAACUAGUUGAAAAGAUGUGCAGGAUUUUAAUUACGGUACUGCAAGAAUGUGGGUUUUGCAACCACUAUUUUGCAGUGCAACUACAGAAUGUUGAAGCUUCGUUGGAGAAGCUGCCUGCCUCACUGUAGUUAUGCUGUCGAAACCCACUAUAUUAAUCUGCAUAGACCAAAUAUUACUUUGCAUCAAGCAUUUAUUUCUGAAAACUUCCACAUAAAACUUGCUAAAAGCCUGAAGCAUAACUAAUAAAAAUAUCAGUAUCAGUGAUAUUUUAACCAAAGGUUGUGUUAAGAUGUUCAUGGCGACGUAGUGGGUCAUGGUGGAAUAUGCUGUGCAGGUGGCUGUGCUAAAAAGCAAUGCAGAUGAAAGUUCUUGUUGCUUCCUAUUUGAUUCAUUGUUUUUCCAUCUUUUUGGAGGACUUUGAGCACCAGUGGUGUAUGAUAGGCGAGCCAUUCAUGGGUUCAUUAUGCAUAGGAAUUUAUGCUUCAAAGGACAUUGCCACAGUGAAUGUGGUAAAUGAUAUGCAAGUAAUUUUUCUGAUAUGGUGAUCUGUGUGCAUGGGCAAAUUUAACACAUUGGCUACGGAGUGGAAUGAAGUUUGGGGCCUGAUCCACUUACAGUGGCAUAUUUUGGUGCAUCGGACUAGUAGCAUCAGGUGAAGUAGUUUUACAUGUGAUGAUGACAGUGCAGCGGAAACUCUUGUAGCCAUGAUAUUAUUGCAAGUCCUACUGUUAUGAACAGCGUUUUAAACAGAAGUGAACUUUGAAACCAAUGAAAUCUUUUUUUUUUAAUUUUCAUUUAAUCAGGGACACAAGAAGGGACGCAAUGAUUGCAUUGUCUUUUUCAUUAGGUAUUAUGUUUAUGCUGCGGCUUCAUGCUGCCGAGGACAAGCGGUAUAAGCUUGCUUGAAAGUUGCAGUCUUUUUAACAGUUCUUAAAUUAUCACACUUCAGAGCUGAUAAAAUAGAAUGUAGAAGAAAUGGAAGACUUAUGACUGACAUUUGUUAUUAAAAUUCUUGCUUGCAUGUCUGUUGAAAUGUUUUGAUGAACUAUAAUCUGAAAAAUGUACAUGAACCUCAGUAUAAUUUUUUCUUAUAAUUCAACACAAAUUUUUUCAUAGUUUAGAUGUAACGAGAUAUGACUAUGGCUCAGGGUAGUUAUUUGCCUGUAAAAAUAGGGACCGUCUUUGAAUAUUUGCAUGGAUGCCGCAUAAUGCUGCCUUCCGGAUCCUUUGAUGCACAUUGUUAGCUGAGAGUUGCCGUAUUCACUUGCAUGGUGCUCGCGCCAUUUUUCGUGGAACAUAUGAGUUGUCUGUGGGAAAACUGCACAAAAAAUUUUCCAAUGAUAUGUAUAUUCAGGGGGCUAGAAGAAUGAAAAAUAUAAAGUGGCUGUUUUUGGGGUUCUUACUCUAGUAACUGUAACAUAAUUUUACUUGCGGACUGCAUUUUCUUUUGGAAUAAAAGCACGGGUUCCACUCAAGCAGGAACUGCAAAAGUGCUCUUUUUGCAGACAAGAGCUGUACCUAUGGUCCGUAGACAGAUUAGUAAAGUGUCCAGGUUAUUCUGUGUCAGUGUCAACAGUGAUAUCAGGACAAGCAUACGACUGUCGCUGUAGCAGUUUGUGCGUGCAAUGAUUAUGCAAGGAAAAAAAAAAGAAAGUUCUAGCUGGGCAGGGUGGAGGAUGUGGGCAUUAUGCGAGGGCAAUUGUUAUGCGAGUAAACACGGCGAGUCUUUGAAGCACAAGUUGCUUGAAAAAAAAAAAAAAAAGCCAGAUCGCUGCCCUGGUGUAAGAAUGGCAUACAGGAGGGGUGUAUUUUUAGGCUUCGCUGGUGAGAGAGAGGUUGGAGAGUGCGGGAGUAGGUGGUUACAGCUGUCUAGCAGACCUCUGCACAUGUUUCUCUAUGUAUUCCGAUACAGGGACACUUAACUAUUGGAUAGACUGCCAUCUCUGGGCCCAUUUUUCUUCCAACGUGAUCUGUCUGAGCAUCAAUGUCUAUUUGUAGUGUGCCUAUUGUGGAUUUGUGUUUUGCGUGCAUGCAUUAUGGCAGCGUUACAAGUGGGCAACUACUGCAUGCAUGUGGGGCUGUGAAAUGUUUUGAGGUAAAUUCUAAUUUAAGAGGGAUUGAGUAUUAAGAGCAAGUAUUCAUUGCUAGGUAUUGCAGGAUUUUGAUGUUGCAGACAACAAAACUUCUAUUUUUAAAAGCUUCUUUCAAUAGUCGAUGUAACGCAAAAAAGUCGGAUGCAUGUCUAGAAUGCAUUACUUAUAGUGGAUUACCCAGCUAUCUGUUUUUUGAGGUUGUGUCGCUGGAUGGAAAACGUCGGCUGAUGGUCUAUGGUAAUCUAUGGUACAAAGUCCUGAAUGUAGUAUAGCGUCAAAAGGAAAAAAAGCAUUAGCUGAAACUUUGAUGUUAGCACACAUUAUUGUAUCGGUGAGGAAAACAGUAUUGACUUUUCAAAUUGUUGAAUGGCAAAUUUGUGUACAUGUACUAUGACACUUCCUGUGUAGAGUGCCCUGUUGCUUCUGUGAAGUGCCCACCACAUUGCCAGUAGUGCUAAUGAUGCCAGCUGAACAUUUAUGUACUGUUAUAAGGAUUAAAGAUGUUUAAAAAUAGCU
rnacentral:misc_RNA from 1 species